UAAUGUAUGGGGAUCUGCCCGAUAGAGGGGGAGUAUACUGGAAACGGUGGCUAAUACCGCAUAAUGUCUACGGACCAAAGCAGGGGCUCUUCGGACCUUGCACUAUCGGAUGAACCCAUAUGGGAUUAGCUAGUAGGUGGGGUAAAGGCUCACCUAGGCGACGAUCUCUAGCUGGUCUGAGAGGAUGAUCAGCCACACUGGGACUGAGACACGGCCCAG
rnacentral:rRNA from 1 species